GUCACGUGGUAUCAGAGUGUGGAAUACUUGUGGUUCGUGAUCCUCCAGGUGGCAGCUCUAGCAUCCCUGGUAUUCUGGGGAUGAAUGUUCUUGGGCGCUGCUACAGGGAGCUUCUCGAACAGUAUGGAUCCACCCUGUUUGAGUUGCCAUUAAUGACGAAUGAGGUGGAAUUGUCUCAGGCUUUUCAAACUUGCCAAAGGGUUGAUGGUGUUCUCACUUGCGGGGGUAAUGUAAAAGUCCGGGGUCGUAGAGUGUGUCGUCUUCCAGGCGGCACCUUAAAGUUCAUAACCGCAACGUGCUCAUCCAUAUUUCGUGAUAAGAUUGUGUUAUUUGAGCCCCUUGAGACUGGGUUGCCAGCUGGCUUAUUAGCCUCCCCAUCCUUAGUGCGUGUUAAGGGUGGGACAGUUUCUGUGCCUGUCAUUAAUGUUGGGGUUCUUGAUGCUGUUUUAUAUCCCACAACCAUUCUUGGGAGGUUGUGGGAAGUGUGUCUAGUUGACUCCCCUGUUGGGCUGACCGAGGUAUCACUGGCAAAUGCUCAGAUAACGACCUGUGACACGAUCGUUGCGUCAGAAGCAGGGCAGGUUAAAAAUGUCGAAUUGCAAGGGUUGUCGGACGAGGAGCAGGAACAGGUAAGGGCUCUCCUUUUGGAAUUCCAGAGUGUGUUUUCCACUGGUGAGCGGGAUGUCGGGGGUACUGACCUCCUGUCUCAUGAAAUUCCGCUAAUUGACGAGACUCCAGUCCGACAACGCUAUAGACGAAUUCCUCCAUCCGAAUAUGAGUUGGUUAAGACCCAUAUCAGCCAGCUUUUAGAUUCGCAAGUGAUUCGAGAAAGUUGCAGUCCAUAUGCCUCUCCAGUUGUCUUGGUUAAGAAGAAGGAUGGUAGCCUACGCAUGUGCGUAGACUACCGUCAGCUAAAUGCUAAGACUCGAAAAGACUCCUUUCCAUUGCCGCGAAUUGAAGAGACACUAGAUUCUUUAACAGGGUCUCGCUGGUUUACCACGUUAGAUCUGGUCAGCGGGUAUAAUCAAGUCCCUGUUGCUGAAUCUGAUCGUUAUAAAACCG
rnacentral:lncRNA from 1 species